rnacentral:tRNA from 1 species
GCGGGAAUAGCUCAGUGGUAGAGCAUCGCCUUGUGAAGGCGAGGGUCGCGGGUUCAAAUCCCGUUUCCGCUCCA